CACACGUGAAGCAAGGGAUGUUCCGGGAGAAAUCCGGAUCGUUCCGCCGGUGGGCUGUUCGAAAGACCAUGCUCGACGCUUCGCGGAGGUUCAACCGGAAAAGGAGAAAAAGG
rnacentral:sRNA from 1 species